UUAUAAGAGACAGCAGUAGCCGCGGGAAAACAGAGGGUGCGAGCGUUAAUCGGAUUUACUGGGCGUAAAGCGUGCGUAGGCGGCUUCUUAAGUCGGAUGUGAAAUCCCUGAGCUUAACUUAGGAAUUGCAUUCGAUACUGGGAAGCUAGAGUAUGGGAGAGGAUGGUAGAAUUCCAGGUGUAGCGGUGAAAUGCGUAGAGAUCUGGAGGAAUACCGAUGGCGAAGGCAGCCAUCUGGCCUAAUACUGACGCUGAGGUACGAAAGCAUGGGGAGCAAACAGGAUUAGAGACCCCCGUAGUCCCUGUCUCUUAUAC
rnacentral:rRNA from 1 species